rnacentral:rRNA from 1 species
ACUCCUACGGGAGGCAGCAGUGGGGAAUCUUGCGCAAUGGGCGAAAGCCUGACGCAGCAACGCCGCGUGCGGGAAGAAGGCUUUCGGGCUGUAAACCGCUUUCAGUAGGAACGAAACUGACGGUACCUACAGAAGAAGGAGCGGCCAACUAUGUGCCAGCAGCCGCGGUGACACAUAGGCUCCAAGCGUUGUCCGGAUUUAUUGGGCGUAAAGAGCUCGUAGGCGGUUGAGUAAGUCGGGGUGUGAAAACUUUGGGCUUAACCCAAAGAGGCCACUCGAUACUGUUCAACUUGAGUUUGGUAGGGGAGUGGGGAAUUCCUUGUGUAGCGGUGAAAUGCGCAGAUAUAAGGAGGAACACCGGUGGCGAAGGCGCCACUCUGGGCCAAUACUGACGCUGAGGAGCGAAAGCGUGGGGAGCAAACAGGAUUAGAUACCCUGGUAGGUCAGUC